ACGAACGCUGGCGGCAUGCCUCACACAUGCAAGUCGCACGAGACCUUCGGGUCUAGUGGCGCACGGGUGCGUAACGCGUGGGAACCUGCCCUUAGGUUCGGAAUAACUCCCCGAAAGGGGUGCUAAUACCGGAUAAUGUCUUCGGACCAAAGAUUUAUCGCCUUUGGAUGGGCCCGCGUUGGAUUAGCUAGUUGGUAGGGUAAAAGCCUACCAAGGCGACGAUCCAUAGCUGGUCUGAGAGGAUGAUCAGCCACACUGGGACUGAGGCACGGCCCAGACUCCUACGGGAGGCAGCAGUGGGGAAUAUUGGACAAUGGGCGAAAGCCUGAUCCAGCAAUGCCGCGUGAGUGAUGAAGGCCUUAGGGUUGUAAAGCUCUUUUACCCGGGAUGAUAAUGACAGUACCGGGAGAAUAAGCGCCGGCUAACUCCGUG
rnacentral:rRNA from 1 species